CUGUAAUUCUCGAGCUCCUUAAGACAUCAGUUGUGCAACCUCCCUCCCAUUCUACUGUUUGCUUUUAUUGCUUGUGGGUCAGAAGCAGUGCAGUCUACAAGGAUUUCCUCCUUUCCUUCAAUUACUCCUGAAAGGCACUGCUUCUCAAGCCUGAUGUUUAAGUCAUGGAUUAUUUCCUAAACAGCACUGGGGCUGAAGCAGGAGGCAAAUGGCCGAUUCUCUCUGGAGGAAGAUGUGAAAAUCCAGGAUCCUGUGGACAUCGGUGGCUUUGGCUCCCUUGGGCGAGUGAGCAGAGUGAUGCUUCUCAGACUGCAGUAAAGAAUUUCUUUUGAAAUUUCCUGGAAGGCGGUUGUGCUGGGGUCGCAUCCCAUCAGAAUCACUUCCAUUUUUCUCUUCAUCUGCUGGCGAGCUUGGUAACGCUCUUGUCCUGCACGCUUUGGGCUGUGUGCCAGGUUCACCUGGUUGGCAGAAUUGCAGUUACCACAAGACAACUGCAGCUGUGUCAAGCUGCAACCCUAUACCUGCUUUCAGAUUUUUGGAUGGAUACCCAGAAAUGGGAUCGCUAGCUCACACGAAUGUCUUCCUGUUUGUGUAUCCUCUACUAUCAAUGCAAAGUACCUCUCAUCCAAUUUUCCACAGUCAACCCAAUGCGAAUACAAUCGACCCUCUGCGUCCUACUGUUCUGCAUCCCUGGAUUCAACCAACCAUCCAUUGAAGAUAUUUGGAAACAAAAACUGCACUUCUAGAGCAGCAAGAGACAUAGCACUCCUCCCCUGCAGAGACCACAGAAUCAUGGCGUCAUCUUGGAAGCAAAGAACAGCCCUCACCAG
rnacentral:lncRNA from 1 species